GACGAACGCUGGCGGCGUGCUUAACACAUGCAAGUCGAACGAAGUGGCGAACGGGUGAGUAACGCGUAAUCAACCUGCCCUUCAGAGGGGGACAACAGUUGGAAACGACUGCUAAUACCCCAUACUGAAGGAGGGGAUUGCGUCUGAUUAGCUAGUUGGCGGGGUCACGGCCCACAAAGGCGAUGAUCAGUAGGCGGUCUGAGUGUAUGAAGAGCGACAUUGGGACUGAGACACGGCCCAGACUCCUACGGGAGGCAGCAGUGGGGAAGCGUCCGCAAUGGACGAAAGUCUGACGGAGCAACGCCGCGUGAGUGAUGACGGCCUUCGGGUUGUAAAGCUCUGUUAAUCGGGACGCGGUACCGGAAUAGAAAGCCACGGCUAACUACGUGCCAGCAGCCGCGGUAAUAC
rnacentral:rRNA from 1 species